rnacentral:miRNA from 1 species
AUGUAUUUGAGGGAAAGCAAA